rnacentral:lncRNA from 1 species
AGUCGGUUGAUGAUAUUGGAUGUGAAUACGUUUGAUUACAUAAUGUAAAUAGCAAUAGACUGUGUUUAUAAUCGCAAGACGUUGUUUACUUAAGAAUGAAUUAUGUUAUUAUCAUAAUUUUAACUGUUUUGAUACGUAUCGAACUGACCGGUGGUUUCUUUUCGAGAUCACCGCGAGAUGGAAACUGGAGGACAAAAAGCCAUUUUGAUAUCACAGCAACGGGAACAGUCCGAGCGAUAAGCAAAUAUAUCAAAACCAACAAAGGAGUCGGAUCUUUAGAAGACUUCUU